rnacentral:rRNA from 1 species
GAUGAACGCUGGCGGCGUGCCUAAUACAUGCAAGUCGAGCGAACGGACGAGAAGCUUGCUUCUCUGAUGUUAGCGGCGGACGGGUGAGUAACACGUGGGUAACCUACCUAUAAGACUGGGAUAACUUCGGGAAACCGGAGCUAAUACCGGAUGAUAUUUUGAACCGCAUGGUUCAAAAGUGAAAGACGGUCUUGCUGUCACUUAUAGAUGGAUCCGCGCUGCAUUAGCUAGUUGGUAAGGUAACGGCUUACCAAGGCAACGAUGCAUAGCCGACCUGAGAGGGUGAUCGGCCACACUGGAACUGAGACACGGUCCAGACUCCUACGGGAGGCAGCAGUAGGGAAUCUUCCGCAAUGGGCGAAGGCCUGACGGAGCAACGCCGCGUGAGUGAUGAAGGUCUUCGGAUCGUAAAACUCUGUUAUUAGGGAAGAACAUAUGUGUAAGUAACUGUGCACAUCUUGACGGUACCUAAUCAGAAAGCCACGGCUAACUACGUG